rnacentral:rRNA from 1 species
GAUGAACGCUGGCGGCGUGCCUAAUACAUGCAAGUCGAGCGAAUGGAUUGAGAGCUUGCUCUUAUGAAGUUAGCGGCGGACGGGUGAGUAACACGUGGGUAACCUGCCCAUAAGGCUGGGAUAACUCCGGGAAACCGGGGCUAAUACCGGAUAACAUUUUGAACCGCAUGGUUCGAAAUUGAAAGGCGGCUUCGGCUGUCACUUAUGGAUGGACCCGCGUCGCAUUAGCUAGUUGGUGAGGUAACGGCUCACCAAGGCAACGAUGCGUAGCCGACCGGAGAGGGUGAGCGGCCACACUGGGACUGAGACACGGCCCAGACUCCUACGGGAGGCAGCAGUAGGGAAUCUUCCGCAAUGGACGAAAGUCUGACGGAGCAACGCCGCGUGAGUGACGAAGGCUUUCGGGUCGUAAAACUCUGUUGUUAGGGAAGAACAAGUGCUAGUUGAAUAAGCUGGCACCUUGACGGUACCUAACCAGAAAGCCACGGCUAACUACGUGCCAGCCGCCGCUGUAA